rnacentral:rRNA from 1 species
AGGACGAACGCUGGCGGCAUGCCUAAUACAUGCAAGUCGAGCGGACUUGAAGAGAAGCUUGCUUCUCUGAUGGUUAGCGGCGGACGGGUGAGUAACACGUAGGCAACCUGCCCUCAAGCUUGGGACAACUACCGGAAACGGUAGCUAAUACCGAAUACUUGCUUYCUUCGCCUGAAGGRAGCUGGAAAGACGGAGCAAUCUGUCACUUGAGGAUGGGCCUGCGGCGCAUUAGCUAGUUGGUGAGGUAACGGCUCACCAAGGCGACGAUGCGUAGCCGACCUGAGAGGGUGAUCGGCCACACUGGGACUGAGACACGGCCCAGACUCCUACGGGAGGCAGCAGUAGGGAAUCUUCCGCAAUGGGCGAAAGCCUGACGGAGCAAUGCCGCGUGAGUGAUGAAGGUUUUCGGAUCGUAAAGCUCUGUUGCCAGGGAAGAACGUCCUUGAGAGUAACUGCUCAAGGAGUGACGUACC